rnacentral:rRNA from 1 species
UACGUAGGGUGCGAGCGUUGUCCGGAAUUAUUGGGCGUAAAGGGCUCGUAGGCGGUUUGUCGCGUCGGGAGUGAAAAUCCAGGGCUUAACUCUGGACUGGCUUCCGAUACGGGCAGACUAGAGGUAUGCAGGGGAGAACGGAAUUCCUGGUGUAGCGGUGAAAUGCGCAGAUAUCAGGAGGAACACCGGUGGCGAAGGCGGUUCUCUGGGCAUUACCUGACGCUGGGGAGCGAAAGUGUGGGGAGCGAACAGG